AUGUGGGAGGAAUGCUUGCCUCAUAUUGAAUUUGCUUAUAAUCGUUCAUUGCAUUCUACUACUAAGAUGUGCCCUUUUGAAGUUGUGUAUGGUUUCCUACCUCGUGCACCUAUUGAUUUGUUGCCUCUUCCAUCUUCGGAGAAGGUUAAUUUUGAUGCUAAACAACGUGCUGAAUUGAUUUUAAAAAUGCAUGAGUUAACUAAGGAAAACAUUGAGCGCAUGAAUGCUAAAUAUAAACUUGCUGGAGAUAAGGGUAGAAAACAUGUUGUGUUUGCACCUGGAGAUCUUGUUUGGUUACAUUUGCGUAAGGAUAGAUUUCCUGAUUUGCGCAAAUCAAAGUUAAUGCCACGUGCUGAUGGUCCCUUUAAGGUGUUAGGGAAAAUAAAUGAUAAUGCAUAUAAACUUGAGCUGCCUGCAGAUUUUGGGGUUAGUCCCACUUUUAACAUUGCAGAUUUGAAGCCUUAUUUGGGUGAGGAAGAUGAACUUCCGUCGAGGACGACUUCAUUUCAAGAAGGGGAGGAUGAUGAGGACAUCAAUACAAUUGUUACACCCACAGCCCCUGCUGCUAUACAUACUGGACCAAUUACUAGAGCUCGUGCACGCCAACUAAAUUACCAGGAAACAGACCCUCGUGGUCAGGUUGAUCGUGCUCCGGCGUGGUCAAUAACCUCUCGGAGUUGGUUUAGCGAUUGCUAA
rnacentral:rRNA from 1 species